rnacentral:RNase_P_RNA from 1 species
CGAGCAAGCCGGGCAGCCGCGGGCACAGUCUGAAAAGGCGUGUCUGAGGAAAGUCCGGGCUCCAUAGGGCAAGGAUAACGGCUAACGGCCGCCGGGGGCGACCCCAGGGAUCGUGCAACAGAGAAAUACCGCCGUGCUUUUUUGCACGGUAAGGGUGGAAAGGCGAGGUAAGAGCUCACCGGCAUGCAGGAGACUGCAUGGCCCUGUAAACCCUAUCCGGAGCAACACCGUGGAGGAACAUUUGCGCUUGCCCGGCGCGUUCCGCGGAGGUGGCGUGAGCCGUAUGGCAACGUACGGCCAAGAUAGAUGGCUGCUCAAGACAGGACCCGGCUUAUAGACUUGGUCGCUUU